AGCUCCAAUACAUAUAUUAAAGUUGUUGCGGUUAAAAAGCUCGUAGUUGGAUUUCUGCUGAGGAUGACCGGUCCGCACUCUGGGUGAGUAUCAGGCUCAGCCUGGGCAUCUUCUUGGAUAAUGUAGCUGCACUUGACUGUGCGGUGCGGUAUCCAGGACUUUUACUUUGAGGAAAUUGGAGUGUUUCAAGCAGGCACACGCCUUGAAUACAUCAGCAUGGAAUAAUAAGAUAGGACCUCGGUUCAAUUUGUUGGCUUCUAGAGCUGAGGUAAUGAUUAAUAGGGAUAGUUGGGGGCAUUCGUAUUUAACUGUCAGAGGUGAAAUUCUUGGAUUUGUGAAAGACGGACUACUUCGAAAGCAUUUGCCAAGGAUGUUUUCA
rnacentral:rRNA from 1 species